GGCUCAGAACGAACGCUGGCGGCAUGCCUAACACAUGCAAGUCGAACGCCUUGAGCAAUCGGGGCGUGGCGCACGGGUGAGUAACGCGUGGGAACCUGCCCUGGAGUGGGGGAUAACCCGGCGAAAGCCGGGCUAAUACCGCAUACGCCCCCGAGUAACAUCGGGGGGAAAGAUUUAUCGCUCCUGGAGGGGCCCGCGUGGGAUUAGCUAGUUGGUGAGGUAACGGCUCACCAAGGCGGUGAUCCCUAGCUGGUCUGAGAGGAUGAUCAGCCACACUGGGACUGAGACACGGCCCAGAGAAAUACGGGAGGCA
rnacentral:rRNA from 1 species